GACAGAGGGUGCAAACGUUGUUCGGAAUUACUGGGCGUAAAGCGCGUGUAGGCUGUUCGGAAAGUCGGAUGUGAAAGCCCUGGGCUCAACCUAGGAAGUGCAUUCGAAACUUCCGAGCUGGAGUUCUGGAGAGGAAGGCGGAAUUCUCGGUGUAGAGGUGAAAUUCGUAGAUAUCGAGAGGAACACCGGUGGCGAAGGCGGCCUUCUGGACAGUGACUGACGCUGAGACGCGAAAGCGUGGGGAGCAAACAGG
rnacentral:rRNA from 1 species